rnacentral:rRNA from 1 species
UACGUAGGGGGCGAGCGUUGUCCGGGAUAAUUGGGCGUAAAGGGCGUGUAGGCGGGCGCAUAGGUCGGGCGUGAAAGGCGCGGGCUCAACCCGUGUAAGCGUUCGAAACGGUGCGUCUUGAGUGCAGUAGAGGGAAGCGGAAUUUCUGGUGUAGCGGUGGAAUGCGUAGAGAUCAGAAGGAACACCGGUGGCGAAGGCGGCUUCCUGGACUGUUACUGACGCUGAGGCGCGAAGGCGUGGGGAGCAAACAGGAUUAGAUACCCUGGUAGUCCACGCGGUAAACGAUGAGUGCUAGGUGUAGGGAUGCUCAGCAUCUUUGUGCCGAAGGAAACCCAUUAAGCACUCCGCCUGGGGAGUACGGUCGCAAGGCUGAA